CCUGAUGACCAUAGCGAGGUGGUCCCACCCCUUCCCAUCCCGAACAGGACCGUGAAACACCUCAGCGCCGAUGAUAGUGCGGAUUGCCCGUGUGAAAGUAGGACAUCGUCAGGC
rnacentral:rRNA from 1 species